rnacentral:rRNA from 1 species
CUUUGUGAACCUUACCUAUCGUCAGUUGCUUCGGCGGGAGGCCCCUGGGAGGGGCCCCGGGGCCCGGCCUGAGCCGGGCUCCCGCCGGAGGAGCGCAAUCCAAACUCUUGCUGUACCUCAGUGGAACAUCCGAGUCAAAACAAAUAAACAAGUUAAAACUUUCAACAACGGAUCUCUUGGUUCUGGCAUCGAUGAAGAACGCAGCGAAAUGCGAUAAGUAAUGUGAAUUGCAUAAUUCAGUGAAUCAUCCAAUCUUUGAACGCACAUUGCGCCCGCCAGUAUUCUGGCGGGCAUGCCUGUUCGAGCGUCAUUUCAACCACUCACGCCCUGGUGCCUGGCGUCGGGGUGUUCCGCCUCACGGCGGAAGCCCCUAGAGACAGUGGCGGACCCGCCGCGGCUCCGAGCGCAGUAGUAAAAUAUCUCGCUAUGGAGGUACGCGGGGGGGCUUACCGGCCGUAAAAACUUUCUUCGGAAAAAUCUCAAGGUUGACCUCGGAUCAGGUAGGAAUACCCGCUGAACUUAAGCAUAUCAAUAAGCGGAGGAAAAGAAACCAACAGGGAUUGCCCCAGUAACGGCGAGUGAAGCGGCAACAGCUCAGAUUUGAAAUCUGGUCCCCAGGGCCCGAGUUGUAAUCUGUAGAGGAUGCUUCUGGCAAGGCGCCGUCCGAGUUCCCUGGAACGGGACGCCGGAGAGGGUGAGA